rnacentral:piRNA from 1 species
CCAUCAGAUCGACCCUGUUGAUCU